GACGAACCGUCCAAACGUUAUUCGGAAUCACUGGGCUUACAGAGUUCGUAGGCGGUCUGGCAAGUUGGGUGUGAAAUCCCUCGGCUCAACCGAGGAACUGCGCUUGAAACUACCAGACUCGAGGGAGAUAGAGGAAAGCGGAACUGAUGGUGGAGCGGUGAAAUGCGUUGAUAUCAUCAGGAACACCGGUGGCGAAGGCGGCUUUCUGGGUCUUACCUGACGCUGAGGAACGAAAGCUAGGGGAGCGAACGGG
rnacentral:rRNA from 1 species